UACGUAGGGGGCAAGCGUUGUCCGGAUUUAUUGGGCGUAAAGAGCGUGUAGGCGGCCAUACAGGUCAGCUGUGAAAACUCGAGGCUCAACCUCGAGACGUCGGUUGAAACCGUAUGGCUAGAGUCCGGAAGAGGAGAGUGGAAUUCCCGGUGUAGCGGUGAAAUGCGCAGAUAUCGGGAAGAACACCCGUGGCGAAGGCGGAUCUCUGGGCCAUUACUGACGCUGAGGAGCGAAAGCGUGGGGAGCGAACAGG
rnacentral:rRNA from 1 species